UCAGUGAAGUGGCACCGUGCCCUUAUGGAAAUGUGUCCCUAUGAGGCCCCUCCCUGUCCCGGUGACAUCAUCCGGGGCUCUGCUGCUUCGCUCCAGUAGAGCACGGUAACUGUGCACAUACUCAACUAACGCCGCUGGGAGAAGUCGACGGAAACUGCGACUGCUGCUCGGCUGCUAUAGAUUUCUUCAUGACAAAAAGACUACCAGGAGUCAGGGCAGAGGAGCACAGUGUGUGAGAGGGGAGAUACCUCUACUGGAAAGGUGAGUCUGAAGGAUUUCACAGAAUAGAGUCAUUUGUGAUGCAGACAGUCUUGGAAAUAUAUGGAACUCAAUUUGAAUAUGAAAUCUGAAACAUUUCAGUCAAGGUGCACCAUAUAAGACUUAUUUAACUUGAGCUUUUAUUUGAGAGUAAUGAUUAAAAAGUGGAGAAAGCCAAGUUAUGUGUGUGUGUGUGAUUUCAAAAUAUUUGGGAGCAAACAUUUAUUGUGUUCUAAGCAAAAGUCAUGGCAUUCGCCUCUAUGUUGAUCAGUUAUUAAUUCAAUUCAUUGUGUAUCUUGAAGGGUCAGGCAGAAGGAGAUUCUGAGGGAGAACAGGGUAUGUCAGAAAGAGCAAGGGGAUCCAGAGGCAGAGAAAGAUCAAGUUACUACAGAGAGAGAAGGAGAGCAAACAGACAAAGAGAGGGACAAUUAUGAAGCAACUACAGCAACUCACUCCACUACAGGGUUUGAUUUAGGUGACAGAGACACAGGGCCCAGACAGGUAAAGCUGAAGAGCCACACACACAGUCUUGCAGUCAUGUCAAUUGAAAAAGCUGAGCUUCAGCAUCUGAGUCACAACAAAGUGAUAGACCGAUUUGCCACCCUUAAAAACAGACGACAUUCUUUGAUGCUUCCACCCACCAAGUAACUUGCAAUUGUAGCCAUAUUUUUUCUUGUUAAUGCUGUAAACAUACUGCUACUGUGCAAUCCUUUGUUUGUUGUUGUACUGUAUU